rnacentral:rRNA from 1 species
UCGGUGUCGGAGCUGACGAGGUACGCGUCGGCGCCCAGGUCGUCCAUGGCCUCGGCCCGCUUCUUGUUGGACGAGCUGAUCACCGUCACGUGGUGGCCCAUGGACUUGGCCACCUUCACGCCCAUGUGGCCCACGCCGCCCAGGCCCAGUAUCCCGCCGCGGAGGCCCGGGGUCAUGAGCCCGAAGUGCUUCAGCGGGCUGUACACCGUCACCCCCGCGCACAGCAGCGGCGCCGCCUGCUCCGGCGCCAGCCCGGCGGGGAUCUUCACCACGAACCUGCACGCGACCAAACGCAACACAACUUAA